rnacentral:rRNA from 1 species
CACGUAGGGCGCAAGCGUUGUCCGGAAUUAUUGGGCGUAAAGGGCGCGUAGGCGGCCAUGCGUGUCUUCCGUGAAAUCCCUCGGCUUAACUGAGGACGUGCGGAAGAAACUGCAAGGCUCGAGUCCGGGAGAGGGGGGUGGAAUUCCCAGUGUAGCGGUGAAAUGCGUAGAUAUUGGGAGGAACACCGGUGGCGAAGGCGGCCCCCUGGACCGGUACUGACGCUGAGGCGCGAAAGCGUGGGUAGCAAACGGG